AUAUAUAAUUAGGCUGGAAUACUAUUAAUAGUAAAACGUUUUUUUUGCUAUCAAGUUUUUAACCCUUGGAUGAAAAAUUAUAGGAUCGGGAUGAUAUUAGUCGGUUAGAGUUGAGUGGUCCCCUUAGGGUUGAGUGGUUCCCACUGGGUUAUAGUAUUUAAUCAAAGGUUAGAAAUAAUGAAAAGGGCUGAUCCAAAGGCUAAAAAACUGGUAGCAACAAUGAGAUUUUGCUACUAAGUAAAAUCUCUAU
rnacentral:lncRNA from 1 species